GGGCGCGUAGCUCAGGGGUAGAGCUCUGGUUUUACACACCAGCGGUCGGGGGUUCGAAACCCUCCGCGCCCACCA
rnacentral:tRNA from 1 species